UACGGAGGAUCCAAGCGUUAUCCGGAUUUAUUGGGUUUAAAGGGUGCGUAGGCGGCCUAUUAAGUCAGGGGUGAAAGACGGUGGCUCAACCAUCGCAGUGCCUUUGAUACUGAUAGGCUUGAAUACACUAGAGGUAGGCGGAAUGUGACAAGUAGCGGUGAAAUGCAUAGAUAUGUCACAGAACACCGAUUGCGAAGGCAGCUUACUAUGGUGUCAUUGACGCUGAGGCACGAAAGCGUGGGGAGUCAAACAGG
rnacentral:rRNA from 1 species